AGAGUUUGAUCCUGGCUCAGGAUGAACGCUGGCGGCGUGCUUAACACAUGCAAGUCGAACGAACCUUCGGGUUAGUGGCGGACGGGUGAGUAACGCGUGGGAAUCUGCCCUCAGGAGGGGGAUAACGGCUGGAAACGGCCGCUAAUACCCCAUAUGCCGAGAGGUGAAAUGAAUUUCGCCUGAGGAUGAGCUCGCGUCUGAUUAGCUAGUUGGUGGGGUAAGAGCCUACCAAGGCGACGAUCAGUAGCUGGUCUGAGAGGAUGAUCAGCCACACUGGGACUGAGACACGGCCCAGACUCCUACGGGAGGCAGCAGUGGGGAAUUUUCCGCAAUGGGCGAAAGCCUGACGGAGCAACGCCGCGUGAGGGAUGAAGGCCUCUGGGCUGUAAACCUCUUUUCUCAAGGAAGAAGAACUGACGGUACUUGAGGAAUAAGCCACGGCUAAUUCCGUGCCAGCAGCCGCGGUAAUACGGGAGUGGCAAGCGUUAUCCGGAAUUAUUGGGCGUAAAGCGUCCGCAGGCGGCCUUGUAAGUCUGUCGUUAAAGCGUGGAGCUUAACUCCAUUUAAGCGAUGGAAACUACAAGGCUUGAGUGUGGUAGGGGCAGAGGGAAUUCCCGGUGUAGCGGUGAAAUGCGUAGAUAUCGGGAAGAACACCAGUGGCGAAGGCGCUCUGCUGGGCCAUAACUGACGCUCAUGGACGAAAGCCAGGGGAGCGAAAGGGAUUAGAUACCCCUGUAGUCCUGGCCGUAAACGAUGAACACUAGGUGUCGGGGGAAUCGACCCCCUCGGUGUCGUAGCCAACGCGUUAAGUGUUCCGCCUGGGGAGUACGCACGCAAGUGUGAAACUCAAAGGAAUUGACGGGGGCCCGCACAAGCGGUGGAGUAUGUGGUUUAAUUCGAUGCAACGCGAAGAACCUUACCAGGGUUUGACAUCCUGCGAACCCCUGAGAAAUCGGGGGGUGCCUUCGGGAACGCAGAGACAGGUGGUGCAUGGCUGUCGUCAGCUCGUGUCGUGAGAUGUUGGGUUAAGUCCCGCAACGAGCGCAACCCACGUCUUUAGUUGCCAGCAUUCAGUUGGGCACUCUAGAGAGACCGCCGGUGAUAAACCGGAGGAAGGUGUGGAUGACGUCAAGUCAUCAUGCCCCUUACAUCCUGGGCUACACACGUACUACAAUGCUACGGACAAAGGGCAGCAAGCUCGCGAGAGUAAGCAAAUCCCAUAAACCGUGGCUCAGUUCAGAUCGUAGGCUGCAACUCGCCUACGUGAAGGAGGAAUCGCUAGUAAUCGCAGGUCAGCAUACUGCGGUGAAUACGUUCCCGGGCCUUGUACACACCGCCCGUCACACCAUGGAAGUUGGCCACGCCCGAAGUCGUUACUCCAACCCUUGUGGAGGAGGACGCCGAAGGUGGGGCUGAUGACUGGGGUGAAGUCGUAACAAGGUAGCCGUACCGGAAGGUGCGGCUG
rnacentral:rRNA from 1 species